rnacentral:lncRNA from 1 species
CAUGAAUCCUCAGAUAUUUUCGGAUCAGCGGCUGGAAGAAAAAGUGGAAGAAUCGUGACCAAAAGCCUGGAAAUUGCAAGUUCGAAGGAGAUUGCUGUAACUGAAACCACGCGAUUGGACCGGGGAAAUCGAUCCGGUGACAUCGAAGAAGGACAAGACGAAUCGCUUCAUCGAAAACGAGAAGGGAGUUCAACGGGACAACGGUCGUACUUCUCGCCCUCCAAACGGCACUUACAUCCCGUUAGGGUGCCCCCAAAAACAGGAACGUCCAUGGCAAGUCUCGAAAUUCUCGCGAGUCGCUCCGGCUGGUUUCGAGAGUGAUAUGUCUGAUGACUCGGACGUGAUGGAGCUGUGGUAAAUCGAAAGAACCGGCCGUACAUUUCUUCCUUUUUUCUAUCGAGAUACGCUUUCAUUUAUUUCAUGUAAUUUUGUAGAAGUUAGAAAUGCGGCGGUUUGAACAAUCGCAACGUCUUGCUCUUUCUCUAUGAAGCGGAAAACAGGCAAUUCACCGUAGUUGAUCGAUGUAGAUCCAUAAAUUCGCGACAUCGUUGGCCCGGUAAUCGAACACGGAGAUAUUUAUUAUAUUUAUGAGCUACUUACGGGAACACAUUUCCCAGCGUACUUACGGUGUCUCUGUAGAAAAGCCUUGGAUGGAAGUGAGCCACUCCGUAGUAAUUUAUGCCGUCAUAUCGGCUACUUUUCGUUCGCUCUAAAUUCACGCUAAAACCGGUCGUUCGUUUGCCACUCGCGAAUCGAUGCCUCGGCCAAUCUCACCAAUUACAAUUACGAACAAUUUGAAUUGCUAAAUUUUGUCGAACUAAAAAUUAAAGCAACGAAGAAGAAGUCAGAAAGAUGAGAGAAGCGAACGAUAAAAUAGAUUUAUAAGGGGGAAUAAGUUGAAAAAUUCGGGUAAAUCAAGGUGUACUUUUUCUGGAGAAACUUUCGCCAAGAUCGAUUCUAUCGCACGAAAUCGUUGGUUUGUUCUCUCAAAGACGGACAAUCACGCACUCGGAGCAAACAGUCGUUCUAUGCCGACGGAUGACACGCGAUCAAUUUGUGUCGGAACACGAUUCGAUGGGUGAUCGUGUAUAGAUAAACGAUUAUGUACUGCGACGAACAGCUAAAAUCACGACAGGACGCUCGAGUCGCAGAAGGUCGAUUAUCGCGUGUUUCAGAGUUUGCCGAGUUAAAGUUAAAAUGUCUUUUUAACCGAUAAAAAGUCGCGUUUAAUACAUAGAUAUUUAAAUAAAAAUAUAAACAUUAUGUAGCAAUCAAAAAACCAAGGAAACAAAAAUAGUAAUAGAUAGGAACCGAGAACGAAGUAUUUUCAAGAUAUUUUAACGAGGUUAAACAAAAAUGCUAUAGAUUUAAUGUGUUACCAUUAUUUCGAAAUUAGUCGGGUGAUUCAAGGAAUAAAUAUGCCACUUAAAUGCGCAUCAGACAUGGAAUUGGCGAAUACGCGUUUGUCGUAGGAUAAACGGACUAUAGAAUCACGUACGAUUUACUAAUUUCAAUAUUUAUUCGCUUUCUAAUGCACCCGAAAUGGCAGUGAAAAAGGAAGAGACCCAUCCCAUGGUCGUCUCGUAUUCCGGUUUUCCGCUUCGAUUCUUAUCAAACCACUGACAACCUUUGAUCUCGUUAAAUUGCUUCCGUUUAAUAUAUGCUCGAUCUUAAAAAAGGAAAUUACAAACCAGGAAAUGCAAUAACCAGGAAAGGCAAAGCUCGUAAGAAUCCAGACAUCUUUGUCAAUUUAGAGCAACAAUGUAUAAAUGUACGAGUUAAAGUAAAUUUAAAAAACUCGUAGAUUAAUAGAAUUUCGUGAACAAGUGACUUUGAAAAAUCGAUUCUAUCGUAUCGUAAUAUUUUAUGAUAUAUAUGUGUAUGUAUAAAGCUUUUUUAAUUAUAAAUAAAAAUGUAAAAAUGUGAAAUGAAAUUUUGUCGAGAUAACAAAGGCAAGCAAAGAUACGGUAGAAAAGGUAAAAAUAAUAUUUUGCUUCGACUAUAAGCAGCAAGAUAGUAAGUAAAGUCGAUAGGUAGACAGAUGAAAGAUAAUAACUGGAAAAGUUAUCGAAACAUGUUUUUGGAAAUGAUUGGCAACGUUCUUUUUUCUCGGCGAUUUAUUUAUUUAUCGCUUUAUCGUUAAUACAUAUUACGGUUUGACAGUGAAUUCAAGUGACAGUGAACAGUAGUACAACAUUCAGAACAUUAUCGUAGCGCACUCACGCUAGUGUGUUAGAUUGAAAAUUAAAAUCGCUCCGUGUGAGAAAGAUUCUACGUGCGUACGUACGUGUGUAAUUACUCUCCUUGAACAGGUGUACAUGAUAGUACACAUGACGGCGAAAGUAUCGAUGACAAUCUCGUGUGCCGUAUAUGUACACACGUACGACGUCUGAUCGUCUCCGCGUGUUAUCCUCUUCGUAAAUAGAAACAACGACAAUCACCGUAAUUACUUGCGCGUAACGAAAGAAAGAAGAAAAA